AAAACAAAAGAAGACGGGAAAGUCGAAAUGAGGACACACAUGAUGAACUGCGAGAAAACCUGGAGGUGGUGUCCAGCACUCUAAAAAACUUUACAACCCGGUGACACCACCGCUGAGUUGGAGCCAGAUAGACGUCAUAAAGAGCGCCUUAUCUGUACAGAUCUGAUGAAGGACCCCGUUUUUGCCGAGUGCUGCAGAAGCCUCCUGGGCUGCAGGGAUUGUGUGGAUCAAUGGAAGCAAAACCAAGGGUACUGCCCAAAGUGUAGAGGGCCGGCCUUUGACGUUCACGGGCACUCUGUGGUGGGCCUGGAUGAGGCACUAGCUGCACUGCAGUUUCUUCUGUCUUAAUCAGUUUAUACAUUAUAUGUGAUGUUCUUUUAACAUAUGACAACAUUAACAGCUAAUGUUGUAAAUGGGAAUCAUAUGCUAUAUCAGAACAUGCAUUACUGAUACAUACUGUAUAGUGACCAAUACUCAGGAACAUCUUUCAAAGAUGUGAAAUAAGAGGUGUUGUUGAAUAGUAAUUACUUUUUACACAAAAUAUGUAGGGCCAGCCAUUCACGGUCACGUUUGACGUUCAUGGGCACUCUGUGGUGGGCCUGGAUGAGGCACUAGCUGCACUGC